rnacentral:rRNA from 1 species
UACGUAGGGGGCAAGCGUUGUCCGGAAUUAUUGGGCGUAAAGAGCGUGUAGGCGGCCAGAUAAGUCCGCUGUGAAAUCUCGAGGCUCAACUUCGAGCUGUCGGUGGAAACUAUCUGGCUAGAGUCCGGAAGAGGAGAAUGGAAUUCCUGGUGUAGCGGUGAAAUGCGCAGAUAUCAGGAGGAACACCGAUGGCGAAGGCAGGUCUCUGGGCCAUAACUGACGCUGAGAAGCGAAAGCAUGGGGAGCGAACAGG